rnacentral:rRNA from 1 species
UACGGGGGGAGCAAGCGUUGUUCGGAUUUACUGGGCGUAAAGGGCGUGUAGGCGGCCACCGCAAGUCGGUUGUGAAAUCUCCGGGCUUAACCCGGAAAGGUCAACCGAUACUGCGGGGCUAGAGUGCAGAAGGGGCAACUGGAAUUCUCGGUGUAGCGGUGAAAUGCGUAGAUAUUGGAAGGAACACCAGUGGCGAAGGCGACUAUCUGGAUAGAUACUGACACUGAGACACGAAAGCGUGGGGAGCAAACAGG